CAGCCGGCUGUAAACGUUGCAGCUUCCACAGGAAACUGUGGUUGAAACUUCGGGUGAAUUCAGGGAAGCCGUCCCCGCCGUGCGGAACGGUAAUCCUGAGCGAAGCCUGCCGAACGGUCCAUCGACAGAUGGUGUAGGUAGGAACGUGCAGAGACUAGAGGCUGAGGAGCCGAUCCAAUAAGGCCUCGCUAGCGCCCGACACCCUCCCCUGGCAAUUCAGGCGGGUGAAGAGAUAGUCCAAGCCCAGUCGAAAGACGGGG
rnacentral:ncRNA from 1 species